rnacentral:tmRNA from 1 species
GGGACAGACUUGGCUUUCGACAGGAGUAGGUUGGUUUUGAUGGCAUGUAGUCUAUGCAAAGACUUUAAACUAUCUCGUUAAUUUUAAACGCAAACAAUACAAACUAUAGACCUGCGCACGCAUUAGCGGCGUAAGAGCUUAAAGCCGGUCAGUUAUGUCAGUCGCUCUUGGUUACUUAGGGUUGGCAUAGCUUCAUAUAAAACAAACAGUAACUUUAACAAUGUGUCCGCUCGAGCAUGUUGUCAAGAAUCAGAGUGUAGGUAAGGUUAGCUGGUGGGCGAUGGGUUUUAACUUUACUGAAAUUUUCACAUCGCCGCUAAGCAUGUAGAAGUCAUUAUGAAACUUAUUUUUGGACAGGGGUUCGAUCCCCCUCUGUUCCACCA